AUAACGUUGCGUCAGCAACGGCCCGUAGGGCGAGCGAAGCGAGUCAUCCUGCACGACCCACCA
rnacentral:sRNA from 1 species